UCAUCAUCACCAUCACCCUGACUAGUCUUUCAGGCGAUGAGUGCUGGAAGACGUUCUAAUCUUCCAGCGGCGCAGAAUGUCAGAGAGAGCCCUCGGAAGAUAUCUUCCGAGGGUUUUUUUUU
rfam:Sodalis praecaptivus strain HS1, complete genome.